UAGUGAGGAGGUCUCAAAGACUACUCACCAUUAAAAUAAAGAAAAAGAGAAAAUAGAUAGAGUGCUUUCACCAAUCUCUCUCUCAAAAUCCUCCGACCUCUCUCUAUAGUUUUUAAAAAGUGAAUCGUCCGUUCACCGACUCCGGCGGCUUCCGUAGAGCAGGAGUCGGGUAUGAUCUUUGUACUUUGUCUAUUCGGCGCAUGCACAAUCUUACCAGUUUAGUUUGAGGUCUGGUUUUGUUUGAAUCUAGUUAUGUAUAAUUGAUUUUGCAUGUUGUGUUUGAGGUAUCUUUGGUCUUCUCUGGAUCGAUCUUUGACCCUUCCCGAUUUCUCGAGAGCGGUUGAAUCCGGAGUAGUUUAGAUUCACUCCUUGUCUUUUACUUUCCCCAUGUGUGGACAAAUGACUCUGGAGACUAAUGUUAGUCUGCCGGCUCUGUUUACCGGGAUUUCCUCCAUCAAUCGCCGGUCUUUGUGUAAAAGUUAUGAUAAUAUAAAUAUCUUUUAG
rnacentral:lncRNA from 1 species